rnacentral:rRNA from 1 species
GAUGAACGCUGGCGGCGUGCCUAAUGCAUGCAAGUCGAACGGGUCUACUUCGGGAGGUCAGUGCCGAACGGCUGAGGAGCACGUGGGGUCCUAUCCUUCAGUCCGGGACAACACCGCGAAAGCGGUGCUAAUCCCGCAUACGCUCUGCGGAGCAAAGCGUGAGCAAUCACGCGCUGUAGAUUGGUCCUGCGGCCCAUCAGGUAGUUGGCGGGGGAACGGGCCAUCAAGCGCGUGGCGGGUCGCCGGUCUGUGAGGACGACCGGCCAGACUGGGACUGAGAGACGGCCCAGACUCCUACGGGAGGCAGCAGCAAGGAAUUUGCGGCAACGGGGUCAAGCCUGACCGAGCAACGCCGCGUGCGGUAUGACGGCCUUCGAGGUGAAAACCGUUUUUUAGGGGGAAGAAACAGACGGUACCCCAUGAAUCAGCCCCGGCUAACUCUGUG